rnacentral:rRNA from 1 species
UGGGGAAUUUUGGACAAUGGGCGAAAGCCUGAUCCAGCAAUGCCGCGUGUGUGAAGAAGGCCUUCGGGUUGUAAAGCACUUUUGUCCGGAAAGAAAUCCUUGGCUCUAAUACAGUCGGGGGAUGACGGUACCGGAAGAAUAAGCACCGGCUAACUACGUGCCAGCAGCCGCGGUAAUACGUAGGGUGCAAGCGUUAAUCGGAAUUACUGGGCGUAAAGCGUGCGCAGGCGGUUUGCUAAGACCGAUGUGAAAUCCCCGGGCUCAACCUGGGAACUGCAUUGGUGACUGGCAGGCUAGAGUAUGGCAGAGGGGGGUAGAAUUCCACGUGUAGCAGUGAAAUGCGUAGAGAUGUGGAGGAAUACCGAUGGCGAAGGCAGCCCCCUGGGCCAAUACUGACGCUCAUGCACGAAAGCGUGGGGAGCAAACAGGAUUAGAUACCCUGGUAGUCCACGCCCCUAAAACGAUGUCAACUAGUUGUUGGGGAUUCAUUUCCUUAGUAACGUAGCUAACGCGUGAAGUUGACCACCUGGGGAGUACGGUCGCAAGAUUAAAACUUAAAUGAAUUGACGGGGUCAUA